rnacentral:rRNA from 1 species
AUUGAACGCUGGCGGCAGGCCUAACACAUGCAAGUCGAACGAGUGGCGGACGGGUGAGUAAUGUCUGGGAAACUGCCUGAUGGAGGGGGAUAACUACUGGAAACCGUAGCUAAUACCGCAUACCCUCGGAUGUGCCCAGAUGGGCUUAGUUAGUCGGUGGGGUAAAGGCUCACCUAGGCGACGAUCCCUCGCUGGUCUGAGAGGAUGACCAGCCACACAGGAACUGAGACACGGUCCAGACUCCUACGGGAGGCAGCAGUGGGGAAUAUUGGACAAUGGGGGAAAGCCUGAUGGAGCCAUGCCGCGUGUGUGAAGAAGGCCUUAGGGUUGUAAAGGACUUUUAGCGGGGAGGCGUUACCCGCAGAAGAAGCACCGGCUAACUCCGUGCCAGCAGCCGCGGUAAUAC